UUUAUUUUAGUAAUCAUAUAUCCAAAGUUUUUCUUGAGUUUUGUAGUUUGUAUAUUUUAUUUUAUUUUAGUAAUCAUAUAUCCAAAGUUUUUCUUGAGUUUUAUUUUUUGGUAAUCAUAUAUCCAAAGUUUUCUUUUUGGUAAUCAUGUAUCCUGUUUUACUUGAGUUUUGUAGUUUGUAUAUUUUAUUUUUUUUUUAGUAAUCAUAUAUCCAAAGUUUUUUACCUUGUUACCAAAUGUUUUCUUUUUGGUAAUCAUAUAUCCAAAGUUUUUUACCUUGUUACCAAAUGUCUUCUUUUUGGUAAUCAUAUAUCCAAAGUUUUUUACCUUGUUACCAAAUGUUUUCUUUUUGGUAUUCAUAUAUCCAAAGUUUUUUACCUUGUUACCAAAUGUUUUCUUUUUGGUAAUCAUAUAUCCUGUUUUACUUGAGUUUUUUUUGUAUUCUCGAGUUUGUAUUGAGAUUGUAACCUGUUGAGUAAAAAAAAAAAAAGAGAAAUAAAACAUUUUUAAAUAAAAAAAUGCUAUCAGCGAAUUCAUUCUUUGGAUCUAAGUUACGGCAUCCAUGAGUUGUGUAGAUCUGAAGAGUUUUUUUAUUAGGGAGUUACCUCAUGCCUGCAUAUAAAGGUUUGGUCUUCUGCCUGUGUGAAUCACAGACACGCUUGUACUUAUUGCAGGAUUACUAGACCACAUGUUUGUAUGCUCGUAUAGUAAUGCAAACUUGGGUUGGGUUGUGUCUGAUGUCAGAGCCCAUUUGUAUGAGCUCAGUGUUUCAUUGGAAGGUCAGAACAUUUCAAAUAGUUUCAAACAUGUACUUCUUACACCAUUUAAAAAAUAUAAAAAUAAAAUCUUGACCCAGGAUGUUUGCAUCCCUGGGUCCAUGUUUGGUUGCGUAUUUAUCAAUUUUCCAUGGAUAAAUAACCAAACGGACAUUACAGGAUUUUUCCAGUGCAACUAUUAGCCAUUGCUUCUACAGGUAACCAGGCAUGUUGAAAGCGGAUACAACAAAAAAAUGUUGCCAGCCCUCGGAAUGAAGUGGACAAGGUAAAAAACGAAGUUGUAAGCCAAUGAUAAAAGUUUUUUACUGCUUAUUUAGCACUCAAUAAACAACAAUUUAACUACAGAGAAUGUAAAGAUGGCUUAUAAGCAGUUUACACAGGGAACGCAUUUCAUAAUGUGAACCUCUGUUUUUAAAUGGCCUCCCUUUAAAAAACAUUUUUGAUCUUUUAGGAACCCCUUUCUACACUGUUCUAUAGUAAAAAAUAAAACAUCAUAAAAUAAAAAAUAAAAUUAGUGUACAUGAAUGGGAAGUGGCCUGCAAACAAACUGUCAAAACAAGCAAUAGUAAGUCAUAAACUAUGAAAUCAAAACAUUGCAAACAUGUAAUUUAUUAUGCACUUUAAGGACAUAUAGAAAAUAAUAAUAGAAAUAAAAGGUGCUCCAAAAUGUAGUCAGAAAUGCUGUGUAAUUGCAUAAAUUACACAUGCAUUCCCAGUAUAAUAUAGUCACUUAUAAUAAUAAUAGCAAUAUCACUUUCUUUCAUAGUAAUAUUUUAAUGAAAGAAUAAACCAUAGGACAUGUAAAUGGUAACUGGUUUGUGAAACCAUAAUAUUAAAUAAUAAAAAAAUGUCAUGAUCCAUUUGUCAGUUUAUAAGGGACUGAGGUGGUCCAGUUUAAAUGAAAUGAACAUGUGAAAAAUAUCAAAAUUACAUGAUGUUUAUGAUGUUUUGACCAAACAGCUGCAGAAUUAUGAGAAAUUACAGUCACUCUCAACCCCUGUCUUUUAGAUGGAUGUGACUGUUCAAAGUUUAAAAAAAAGAAGAAAAAUCUAACAUUUUCUAAACGUUUCAAAUCACCAAUCUCUUAGAUGCUUAAAAUUAAAAAGUAUUCUAAAUCAUAGUACUUACACACAUUAGUUUCUUUUGGAUGUGGGUUUUAGAAAAGGAUUUGCAUUUUAAACAUACUUGAACCUGCUUAGAAUAGAUAUAAAGUAUUUAUGAAGGUGAGCAAGAUGUAAGGAGAAUGAGAGUUUCAGAAUGUAAUGGUGUAAAACCUCGAGCUGACUGAAUACUGACUGCAUCAAAGCUGUUAGACUUAUGAACUGCCUUUUCUUUAUUUCAAUUGUAUGUUAGUAGUAGUAGUUACACACCAUGAAAUAUUUUGCUUGCACCAAAAAAAAAAAAAAA